rnacentral:rRNA from 1 species
GUGCCAGCCACCGCGGUUAUACGAGAGGCCCAAGUUGACAAACACCGGCGUAAAGCGUGGUUAAGUAAAAACUCACACUAAAGCCAAACAUCUUCCAGGCUGUUAUACGCAACCGAAGACAGGAAGUUCAACCACGAAAGUGGCUUUAUCUAGUCUGAACCCACGAAAGCUAAGGAACAAACUGGGAU